rnacentral:tRNA from 1 species
UCCCUGGUGGCUCAGAGGGUAAAAGCAUCUGCUUGCAGUGCAGGAGACCCAGGUUUGAUCCCUGGGUUGGGAA